rnacentral:rRNA from 1 species
AACCUUACCUGGCCUUGACAUACUAAGAACUUUCCAGAGAUGGAUUGGUGCCUUCGGGAACUUAGAUACAGGUGCUGCAUGGCUGUCGUCAGCUCGUGUCGUGAGAUGUUGGGUUAAGUCCCGCAACGAGCGCAACCCUUUUCCUAUUUGCCAGCGGGUUAAGCCGGGAACUUUAAGGAUACUGCCAGUGACAAACUGGAGGAAGGCGGGGACGACGUCAAGUCAUCAUGGCCCUUACGGCCAGGGCUACACACGUGCUACAAUGGUCGGUACAAAGGGUUGCUACCUCGCGAGAGGAUGCUAAUCUCAAAAAGCCGAUCGUAGUCCGGAUCGCAGUCUGCAACUCGACUGCGUGAAGUCGGAAUCGCUAGUAAUCGCGGAUCAGAAUGCCGCGGUGAAUACGUUCCCGGGCCUUGUACACACCGCCCGUCACACCGUGGGAGUUUGUUGCACCAGAAGUAGGUAGUCUAACCGCAAGGAGGACGCUUACCACGGUGUGGCCGAUGACUGGGGUGAAGUCGUAACAAGGUAGGCGUAGAUGA